AUGCAAGACUUCACGCUGAGUUAUCCAGCUAAUCAACAGUCAACAGAUCUCCUAGAAAAAAAGAAGAAGAAGAAGCUGAACUGCUUUUGGUCCGAAAGUUUGAAAGAAAGCGAUGAGGACAAUUUCCCUUCAAAGCAGAUCAAUAGCAGCAGAUUCAGAUGAAUGACAUCGAAAAAUCACAAAUCUAAGAGAUCCAGGACAAUCUCAUGGGCAUGGGAAUUGCCACACGGGCCAGAACCCAAGGCCCAAGGGGACAGAGU
rnacentral:lncRNA from 1 species